GAUGAAGAACGUAGCGAAAUGCGAUACGUAAUGUGAAUUGCAGAAUUCAGUGAAUCAUCGAAUCUUUGAACGCACAUUGCACUCUCUGGUAUUCCGGAGAGUAUGCUUGUUUGAGUAUCAGUAAACACCUCAAAUCUCUUGUUUCUUGUGAAUAAGAGAAUUGGACUUGAGCAAUCCCAACUCUUGCAAAAGAGGCGGGUUGCUUGAAAUGCAGGUGCAGCUGGACAUUCUUCUGAGCUAAAAGCAUAUUUAUUUAGUCCCGUAAAACGGAUUAUUACUUUUGCUGCAGCUAACAUAAAGGUUGAGUGGCCAAUAUGGCUGACUGAUGCAGGAUUAACAGAGAAUUUAUUCUUUGUAAACUCGAUCUCAAAUCAAGUAAGACUACCCGCUGAACUUAAGCAUAUCAAUAAGCGGAGGA
rnacentral:misc_RNA from 1 species